UACGAACGCUGGCGGCGUGCUUAACACAUGCAAGUCGAACGGAAAGGCCCUGCUUUUGUGGGGUGCUCGAGUGGCGAACGGGUGAGUAACACGUGAGUAACCUGCCCUUGACUUUGGGAUAACUUCAGGAAACUGGGGCUAAUACCGGAUAGGAGCUCCUGCUACAUGGUGGGGGUUGGAAAGUUUCGGCGGUUGGGGAUGGACUCGCGGCUUAUCAGCUUGUUGGUGGGGUAGUGGCUUACCAAGGCUUUGACGGGUAGCCGGCCUGAGAGGGUGACCGGCCACAUUGGGACUGAGAUACGGCCCAGACUCCUACGGGAGGCAGCAGUGGGGAAUAUUGCACAAUGGGCGGAAGCCUGAUGCAGCAACGCCGCGUGCGGGAUGACGGCCUUCGGGUUGUAAACCGCUUUCGCCUGUGACGAAGCGUGAGUGACGGUAAUGGGUAAAGAAGCACCGGCUAACUACGUG
rnacentral:rRNA from 1 species